UCCGACACCUUUGCGCCGCUGAAGCCCUAGAUCGUCUACGAAGAUGAAGCCCUCGAUCGCCUUCUCCUACCUACCUCUUCUCCUCAAUCGACUACGCAGCUGCGAACCUUCUCCCCCAUCAACGACGUAGCUGUGAAAUAAACCUUUUCCCCGCUCAUCUCCGCUGUCUCAAACACUCGUUGGCAUAUUGUUCUGCCGAGAAAGUUUGUAUGAGGAUGCGGAAUGCAAUGAAAGAAAACUCGCUGCAUUGAUCGUUUCUAAGCGAGGUAUACAUGAGCGAAUCUCCGGAACUGAUUCGAGCUUGGCCUUCACUUCGAAUUGGGGAAAGUGGCUUCUUUUAGAUCUAUUAGGCAUUCAGGCAGUUGGUAGAUGGAUACAAGAAAGUCUAGCAGAAGCAGUUCUAGCAUAAAUACCUUAUCAAACUACAUUGUUGGCAAAACUCUUGGUGUUGGGGGAUUUGGGAAGGUUAAAUUUGCUACUCAUAUCCUGACUGGACUUUAAAGUUGCAAUUAAGAUCUUGGAUCGGCAGUUAACGAUUCAGUUGCAGCAAAAGUGAAGCGGUAGUGAGGCUGCUAGUACAUCAUCAUAUAGUUUGCUUGUAUGAAAUCAAAGAGACCGAAUCACGCAUCUAUGUUGUUAUGGAAUACAUGAAGUGUGGCGAACUUUUUGAUUAUAUCACACAAAAAGGCAGGAUCCAUGAGGAUGAGGCAUGUCACUUCUUCCAGCAGGUAUUCAAUUCAGUUCAAUUCAAUUCUAAAUACUAUUUAUAGCUACCAUCAUAAAUAUGAUUAUUUGUUAACUGUGACUGCAAUCUUACUGGGGACAAGAUAUAGAUUUCAUAAUAUAAUAAGAGUUCAGAUUCUGAAAGUUCCUGCACUCCUUAUAGUUAUAAGUGUCAAGGCAAUGUAGUUUACAAAGUAUGAUGCUGGUGAGUUGUGACUAAUUAGACAUUAGUGCCACAGAUUGCAUGUAAAUUGUAUUAAAUGUAUGGUUCGGUGUUGUUUAUUCCGAUUAGCAUCGUAAACUUGUAUUGUUAUGAAACUACUACUACUUGUGUUACAAUUGCUACUUGC